CAGUCUUGUAGUGAGCACACGUCGAAUUGCAAAUUCGAAAAAGUACCCUAAAAGUACCCGGACU
rnacentral:tRNA from 1 species